ensembl:lncRNA
CCUGCGCGCUUCUAACCUGAGGCACAAGGGUGUAUGUGCUUACACCUCGUGUGUGUAAUAUAUUUCUAUAAAAGAUGUGUUUUGUCAGGUAACCAAAAUGUACUAAACGUGGUGACAUCUAAAAUAAAUUAAGGUUUUUGAGGAAAACAUUCCAGGAUUUUUCUCCAUAAGACAUGAACACUUUGGAUGACAUGGGGAGUUCUGUAAUACUGGACGGAAGCAUGUGUAAUUACUCUGCAUUGAUCUAAGCCCUUUCACCCAUGGACACUCGGGUCUGUUGAAAAUAUCCUCAGGGUAUUUUUCUUCAUUCCCACUACAAAGUAGCAUAAAGACUUGAAUUCAGAUAGCUCGGCAAGUGGUAUAUUCAAAGAAAAUGUGGGAAGCUGCCGGAAGAGUGUCUGAACUGUGCUCUAUACUUCAGUCUUCACAAGCUGUUAAAAUACAGAAAACAAGGAUAUGAAAUUUGCAGGCGUAACACAUAAAGCAAUUGUUUCUGCUGUGUUUGCAACAGUGCUGUGCCUUUUAACUCACCACAAGCAUCGGUUGGAGAUUUUUUCACACUGUAAUGUAUUAAUUAAGCAUUUUAUCGCAUAAACACCAAGGGUUGGCUGCACUACCUAUGUUUUUUUCAGUAUAAUCAUCAAUUGUUUUUAAGCACAACUCCUAGAGACUGAGGAAAUGCAUUGGAUAAUAGGCAUGAUUAGACUCAGUGUUCUCAAGCCGAAUCACACCGGUACAUGGAUCUCCAUCACUGCAGGAGAUCAGUUUAAUGAGAAGACUGCUAUCUGUAGAGGACUUAAACACAAGAGCAGAAACAUGUGCUCUGAUCCCGUUUACACUAAUCAAAAAAGAAAGACAGUUUUUUUUGUUUUUUUUUUCCAAAGAGAAUUUUAUAUCUCGCCAUGCAAAGGCUGUUUUAAAUGCAUACACAGGAGCUGUUCACUGUACACUGCUUUUCAAUUUGUUUCAUUUGUUUUUGUGCUUUUCUAUUGUUUUCUAUGUAAACAUGCACUAGA